ACGGGACACCUGCAUCUGCCAACAAGACUGGAAGCAGGUUGGCGCAUGGACAUUUUCCCAGAAAGGGACAGAGACGGCGAAGUUUGACGGUCUGGAAAGCAGAGACCAGCAGGGCUGACUGCUUGGGAGCACCAAAUAUCCGGACAGCGCCUCUCGGGAGGUCCGAGAAGAGAACCGCGAUCUGUUUCAGCACCGGGGCUCAGGACAGUUCCCAGCGGGCUCCGUUUCGUCUCCAGAACCCUGGACAGCUCCUCCAGCUUGGAAUGCACUCCCUCCACCUCCACCCAGAGCUCCCCACAACUGACCCUGCCUUCUUCUGCAAGCUCCAUUUCAUCAAGGGAAACGAUCCUUAUUGCCUCACCAUUUCCCACGUGAAGUCUGUAUUGACAUUCUCAUAGACCUGGGAUAUUGUGUCUGCAGCACACAGUCCAAUUAUUUUCAUGUUAUCUACUGACAGGUCUAUUUGUCUCCCUGUUACACUGUGAGCUCCGUGAGGGCAGAAACAAUGUUAGUAUUUUCACUGCUGUGUCCCCAGCGCCUGGUCCGGGGCCCGGCACACAGCAGGCAUAUAAUAAGCAUGUGUUGAAUCAAUAAAGGCAUCAAAGAAUAAACCAAUACAUCAAUCAAUAAA
rnacentral:sRNA from 1 species